UACAGAGGUCCCGAGCGUUGUUCGGAUUCAUUGGGCGUAAAGGGUGCGUAGGCGGCGGGGUAAGUUUGAUGUGAAAUCCCGGGGCUCAACCCUGGAAUGGCAUUGAAUACUGCCUUGCUAGAGUACCGGAGAGGAAACUGGAAUUUACGGUGUAGCAGUGAAAUGCGUAGAGAUCGUAAGGAAGACCAGUGGCGAAGGCGGCUCACUGGACCGGUACUGACGCUGAGGCACGAAAGCGUGGGGAGCAAACAGG
rnacentral:rRNA from 1 species